rnacentral:rRNA from 1 species
UACGUAGGGGGCAAGCGUUAUCCGGAUUUACUGGGUGUAAAGGGAGCGUAGGUGGUAUGGUAAGUCAGAUGUGAAAGCCCAGGGCUCAACCCUGGGACUGCAUUUGAAACUGCCAAACUAGAGUGCAGGAGAGGUAAGUGGAAUUCCUAGUGUAGCGGUGAAAUGCGUAGAUAUUAGGAGGAACACCAGUGGCGAAGGCGGCUUACUGGACUGUAACUGACACUGAGGCUCGAAAGCGUGGGGAGCAAAC